GACGUAGGAGGCGAGCGUUGUCCGGAUUCAUUGGGCGUAAAGAGCGCGCAGGCGGCUUGGUAAGUCGGAUGUGAAAACCCGAGGCUCAACCUCGGGCGUGCAUCCGAAACUGCUCGGCUAGAGGUAGGUAGGGGAGAUCGGAAUUCCUGGUGUAGCGGUGAAAUGCGCAGAUAUCAGGAGGAACACCGGUGGCGAAGGCGGCUCGCUGGGCCAAUGCUGACGCUGAGGCGCGAAAGCGUGGGGAGCAAACAGG
rnacentral:rRNA from 1 species